AAAAAUAUAUUUCUGCAAGAUUUAAAAUAUUUCUUCGAAAUAUUAAAUCGUUACACUCUAAAAAAUAAUUACAAAUUUUUGGUUAUUUGCUCGUAAUGGGAAUAAAAUAAUAUAUUCAUAAUUUACAUACAUUAGUUACUUAAAUUUAGCAGUAAUUUAUGUAGGUUAUGUAGGUGAGUUUGUGAUAUAUUGAACCUAGUGAGCACUUUUGGUAAACAAAAAUGGCACUGAGUGAUGAACCUAACGCAAUGAUUCGUGGCCAAAAUUUGCAAAUUCAUACAGAUACUAUGCUUGCUUAAGGCGGCAGGACGGUAGAUAUGGAAGUCAUAAUCUGCUAAGAAGUGUGUAACAGCUCACCUGCUUAGGCAACUAGCACUCAAAAUGGAUGCUAAAGCUUUUCUAAUCUGCUUCGCUUCAAAAUAAGAUUGGCUUGGCCGAG
rnacentral:ncRNA from 1 species